rnacentral:rRNA from 1 species
UACGUAGGGUGCAAGCGUUGUCCGGAAUUAUUGGGCGUAAAGAGCUCGUAGGCGGUUUGUCGCGUCGGGAGUGAAAACCUUGGGCUUAACUCAGGGCUUGCUUUCGAUACGGGGCAGACUAGAGGUAUGCAGGGGAGAACGGAAUUCCUGGUGUAGCGGUGAAAUGCGCAGAUAUCAGGAGGAACACCGGUGGCGAAGGCGGGUCUCUGGGCCGAUACUGACGCUGAGGAGCGAAAGCGUGGGGAGCGAACAGG